rnacentral:lncRNA from 1 species
UGCCACUGCACUCUAGCCUGGGCUGGAGCCACAGAGUGAGACUCUGUCUCAAAAAAAAAAAAAGAAGAAAAAAUAAAACAACAACAAAGGAUUAAUGAUUCGGAUCUAGGCUUGAAACAUGAAGCAAUUUUCCAGUUUUCCUCACAACUGGCCUAGAGUUCAAAACCAGAAUAAUGGUUAGAGCUAGUUACUACUUUGCUGACUUUCUCAUCCUAAAUGUAGUGCAGUCCAGACAGAAUGGAAUAUGGUAAAACUGCUACCUUUAAAUCCGACCAGUUCAACAGAUAUUUCAUAAAACAGGCUCGUGAAUGCUAUUUUUAUCUUGUGUUUUCUUGUUUUCACACUUUCAGUGCUUAAUUGUUUUUCUCAUUCAAACGAAAGUUUUAUCUGAAAACCCAUCCUGUGGCCGGAAGUGGAAGCAUGUGCCAUCUAGAGAUUAUACCACAAAAAACGGACGGCAAGUCUUCUAGAUCCUGCACGCGCCUGCUUUUGGAGCCCUGAUAAAAUAACGCAAUCAACCAAAACACAUAUGUGGCUACUUGCUCAUAAUUAGCAUGAAAAAAGCAAGCAAACUGAGGCUAUCUUAAUAAAUAAAAGAAAUAGCACAACAUUGAGAAUUACUGCCUCUGUUCACAUGGAGUCUAGAUUCAAGGAAGUAUGUGUUGCUUUUAUCUCACCUUGGGAAGUAGAAGAGAAAUGCUGGAAGUGACAAGAUCCAGGAUGCUACUGCACCUAGUUCCUUGGCCUCGUUUCCAGAAACCAGCCAAUCAGCUGAGCUGUGAAACGCUGCAUACCACAGAUGACGCACAUUUGCCCUGGAAUCUUUUCCAUCCCUCAGCAGUCUGUGACCCAGCCCUUUGCCAGCUGCUUGGGAGCCAACACUAAUGACUGGGCCAUGAGCAUCUCAGACGAGAAAACCUGCAGGCAAGAAGGAAUUCCUAGCAGGCAGCAUAG